rnacentral:rRNA from 1 species
AGCGAACGCUGGCGGCAGGCCUAACACAUGCAAGUCGAGCGGGCGUAGCAAUACGUCAGCGGCAGACGGGAGAGUAACACGUGGGAACGUGCCCUUUGGUUCGGAAUAACUCAGGGAAACUUGAGCUAAUACCGGAUAAGCCCUUCGGGGGAAAGAUUUAUUGCCAUUGGAGCGGCCCGCGUCGGAUUAGCUAGUUGGUGAGGUAAUGGCUCACCAAGGCGACGAUCCGUAGCUGGUCUGAGAGGAUGACCAGCCUCACUGGGACUGAGACACGGCCCAGACUCCUACGGGAGGCAGCAGUGGGGAAUAUUGGACAAUGGGCGCAAGCCUGAUCCAGCCAUGCCGCGUGGAUGAUGAAGGCCCUAGGGUUGUAAAGUCCUUUUAACGGGGAAGAUAAUGACGGUACCCGUAGAAUAAGCCCCGGCUAACUUCGUGCCAGCAGCCGCGGUAAAAC